ACGGGUGAGUAACGCGUGAGGAACCUGCCUUUCAGAGGGGGAUAACGUCCGGAAACGGACGCUAAUACCGCAUGAUAUAUUGAUACCGCAUGGUAAUGAUAUCAAAGGAGCAAUCCGCUGAAAGAUGGACUCGCGUCCGAUUAGCUAGUUGGCGGGGUAAAGGCCCACCAAGGCGACGAUCGGUAGCCGGACUGAGAGGUUGAACGGCCACAUUGGGACUGAGACACGGCCCAGACUCCUACGGGAGACAGCAGUGGGGGAUAUUGCACAAUGGAGGAAACUCUGAUGCAGCAACGCCGCGUGAGGGAAGAAGGUUUUCGGAUUGUAAACCUCUGUCCUCGGUGAAGAUAAUGACGGUAGCCGAGGAGGAAGUUCCGGCUAACUACGUGCCAGCAGCCGCGGUAAUACGUAGGGAGCAAGCGUUGUCCGGAUUUACUGGGUGUAAAGGGUGCGUAGGCGGCUCUGCAAGUCAGGCGUGAAAACUAUGGGCUUAACCCAUAGACUGCGUUUGAAACUGUGGAGCUUGAGUGAAGUAGAGGUAGGCGGAAUUCCCGGUGUAGCGGUGAAAUGCGUAGAGAUCGGGAGGAACACCAGUGGCGAAGGCGGCCUACUGGGCUUUAACUGACGCUGAGGCACGAAAGCAUGGGUAGCAAACAGGAUUAGAUACCCUGGUAGUCCAUGCUGUAAACGAUGAUUACUAGGUGUGGGGGGGUCUGACCCCUUCCGUGCCGGAGUUAACACAAUAAGUAAUCCACCUGGGGAGUACGACCGCAAGGUUGAAACUCAAAGGAAUUGACGG
rnacentral:rRNA from 1 species